UCUAUUCUAUUCUAUUCUAAUUUUGCCCAGGUCACCUUUACUAUAUCAUUCUUGCCCUCUGACACUUUCUGGAGCCUGUUUCUCCUCCCUCUCUUCCUCCUCCUUCCUGCACAGACUGGGAAGUAAUCCUAUAUAUAUUAGUUGUUCACCCUGUACUUCUUUAAAGGCUCUUCUCAGCUCACUGACAUUGUGUCAUACAAACAAAGAAAAAUGCCAGAAGAAGUUCCUGCUCAGUGCAAGGCUCCCAAAGAUGAGCUGGACAAAUGUGUUCAGGGGAAGGGUGCAGAGGGCUGUAAGGAGCUGCUGGAAGCUUUUGAGGCCUGUGUGAAGGGGACCACGGCAGCCUCGUGAGAGGACAUGGAGUUACAUGUCCUUCAUUUCUGGGUCCUCCAGUGUCCUUCCAUUCCCUCACAUUGCUCUGGACUAAACCAUUCUGAGGACAGUGAAAGGGGAGCAAGAGCUGGAAAGCAGUGGAAUUGUUUAUUUUGAUCCUGGGAAGUCUUGUUGCUGUCCUCAUGUUAUUUGUAACAGUGGAAGAAAUAAGAACCCAGUUUUUAUUAUUAUUAUUAUUAUUAUUUUCCAGAUUUCACACUGUAAUAAAACGGUGCAUUUCAUUUGUUUUUCAAUAAAUCAAUAACCAUGACAAUUAA